rnacentral:lncRNA from 1 species
UGAAAAAAUACAAUUAAUUAUUAUUAUAUACACCAAACGAAAAGACCAAACUACAAAGAACUUGUUGAUUACGUAACUUUAAUUAAUCAGGAUUUGAUUGAAUUAAGUGAUUACGAGUAGCAUUACCUUAGUUCACAAUCAUCAGACAAUUGUUGAAUAAACAAACCAAUUCUAGACUUAUGAUUUGGUUAAACAAGACAUUAUGAUGAGUUAAACAAUUACCAGCAAGAUUUUAUUUACAGAGUUGUGCAUAUGCAUAAUGCUCUUCUUACUAAAGAUAAUAAAAAAAGACGAAAUUAUAGUAAUGUUUUUCCGAUAUGCUAUUUCUGUAACUCGGAAAAUGAAACCC